AUUUGGAUCAUGAAAUUUUUAUGGACCAACCAAAAGGAUUUGUCGAUCCUGCUUCUCCCUCUUAUGUUUGUAAGUUACGGAAAUCAUUAUAUGGGCUUAAACAGGCACCACGAGCCUGGUUUUGUCGUUUGUCUAGCUUCUUACUUCAGCUAGGAUUUACUGCAUCUAAGGCUGAUUCCAGUCUCUUUAUCUAUCGCAAUGGUUGUGUCUCUUUAUUCAUCCUUAUAUACGUUGAUGACAUCUUGGUUACUUGUUUAGACAAUACUUAUUUACAGUGGUUCAUGUCUAAGAUCAAGGAGGCUUUUCCGACCAGAGAUAUUGGAGCAUUACAUUAUUUCCUUGGCUUAGAGGUACAUCACACUUCUGCUGGCUUAUUGCUCAAUCAACAGAAAUAUAUUGUGGAUCUUCUUUCUCAAGCAUCAAUGCUGAAUUGCAAGCCCUGUCAAACUCCUAUGGCCACCACUCCCCCACUUACUAAAUUCAAUGGAGUCUCUUUUGAUGAUGGUGUUCUCUACCGGCAAAUAGUUGGUGGAUUACAAUAUGUGACCUUAACCCGACCAGAUAUCUUUUUUGCAGUCAAUAAAUUGUGUCAAUUUAUGCAUAAUCCAACAGAUGAUCAUUGGAAAGCCGUUAAGAGAUUGUUGCGUUAUCUUCAACACACUAAAUCAUAUGGCCUAUUCUUUGCUAAAGACUCACCUUUGGACUUGCAAUCUUUUUCGGAUAGUGACUGGGGUGGUGAUAUAGAUGAUCGCCGGUCCACCAAUGGGUAUGCUCUCUACCUUGGUCGCAACUUGAUUUCUUGGAUGUCCAAGAAGCAGCCAACAAUAGCUCGCUCCUCUACAGAAAGCAAAUAUAAAGCUUUAGCCAAUGCCACUGCUGAAGUUAUGUGGGUUCAAUCUCUUUUACGUGAACUUGGUUAUCCUCUUCUACAGCCUGCUGUCCUAUGGUGUAACAAUGUUGGAGCUAUUUAUCUCAGUGCCAAACCAGUAUUCCAUGCUCACACCAAACACAUCGAAUUAGACUAUCACUUUGUGCGAGAGCAGGUAGUCAAUGGUACAAUCCAAGUUCGAUUUCUUUCUUCUGAAGAUCAGGUAGCAGAUAUCUUAACCAAGCCUUUAGGCCAACGUUUGUUUGACAAGCACCGUGACAAGCUUCGGCUCCAAGUUUUACCACCAUUAGCUUGAGGGGGGGUAUUCGGGUAUCAGUUUGGAUAUUGCCAUAUACUUCUCUCAAGUGGUUUAGAUAUCAUAUCAGAUUUAAAAUUCAAUUGUAUACUUUCUUAUCUUUCUUAUCUGUAAUUAGUUUAUAUAUACUUUGUACUUGCAUACUGUUUAAAAUAAAAAAAGAGAUAAAUACAGUUCACAAUUCAAGCCAAAACUUCUACACGUGUGUCAGGUCAGAUAGUAUCG
rnacentral:misc_RNA from 1 species